rnacentral:lncRNA from 1 species
GAAAGUGAUAUUUUUUUUUUUGUCAACAUUGUUUCAUUAGAAAUUGAUCCAAUGGGCAUUUUACAUAUCGGUAUUGGAUUAUUACAUAAAAGCCCAGAUAAAAUAUUAUAAUCAGCCCAAAACCCGAAGAAGAAGUCUCUGGGGACACCACGUGUCCUUCACGGAGAAAACGGUAAUCUAGACCUCCGUAUAGUUUCUUCGCCAUGCAAAACUUCAUCUUCUCCACCUCCGUUCUUCUCUAAUCACCACCGUUGUAGUGUCUAAAGCCACCCCGCAAACCCAAAACCAACUUUAACCGCAAAUACUUGAGCAAAGGGACCUCGAAUCAAAUCGAAUCAAGACCCUUUACCGGACCGUUGAAAGCAACGCCGAUUCUCCUGAAUCUCCUUCAUACUCGAUUCUUUGUACCCAUCAAUCUCAUCCUUCUCUCUCUCAGAGAUGCUCUACUUGAACGCCAUGAAUGGCUACAUAAAGAAAGCAAAGAUUGACUCUCGUAAAAAAGAAAUCAGAGUAAACGAUGAAGAAGGUCUUUGAUCAAAGAUUUGACGGGAUAAAAUUAAGCCUAAGUGGAGAGCAAGUAUAAAACAAAGAUCCAGUCAUAUAGAUCGGAUGAUUAUUAAUCGACUCGAGACAUGGACAAAACAAAAUCUUGAAGAACAACCCUGUUUGAACCAACAAAUACAUCAAAAGUCGCCAUGCAAAGCGUUAAUUCGACAAGCGGAAGAGGAGAUUCGCCGAGCGAAAGAUAUUUACAACAAAAGAAACAAACACAAAAGGGUUAAAAUAACACUUUUGAUGAACUCUUCAAAGAGAGGUCAUAACAAAACGAAAAAAAAAAAUUCAAAUUAAAAAAAGAAAAGGAAAGAAGAGAGAGAGUGUCCCGUUUAUUUAUUUUAUUCUAGGAAAGUGGC